rnacentral:piRNA from 1 species
AUGGCACAGUGACCAAACAGAUGAAUGACGG